rnacentral:SRP_RNA from 1 species
GCCAGGUGUGGUGGCUCACGCCUGUAAUCCCAGCACUUUGGGAGGCCGAGGCGGGAGGAUCACCUGAGGUCAGGAGUUCAAGACCAGCCUGGCCAAGAUGGUGAAACCCCGUCUCUA